rnacentral:rRNA from 1 species
CCCGGGAAACUGGGGAUAAUUCCGGAUAACGCACAUAUGCUGGAAUGCUUUAUGCGUGAAAUGGAUUCGUCUGCCCAAGGAUGGGUCUGCGGCCUAUCAGGUAGUAGUGGGUGUAAUGUACCUACUAGCCUACGACGGGUACGGGUUGUGAGAGCAAGAGCCCGGAGAUGGAUUCUGAGACAUGAAUCCAGGCCCUACGGGGCGCAGCAGGCGCGAAAACUUUACAAUGCGGGAAACCGUGAUAAGGGGACACCGAGUGCCAGCAUCCUAUGCUGGCUGUCCAGGUGUGUAAACUACACCUGUUAGCAAGGGCCGGGCAAGACCGGUGCCAGCCGCCGCGGUAACACCGGCGGCCCGAGUGGUGAUCGUGAUUAUUGGGUCUAAAGUGUCCGUAGCCGGUUUGGUCAGUCCUCCGGGAAAUCUGACAGCUUAACUGUUAGGCUUUCGGAGGAUACUGCCAGACUUGGAACCGGGAGAGGUAAGAGGUACUACAGGGGUAGGAGUGAAAUCUUGUAAUCCCUGUGGGACCACCUGUGGCGAAGGCGUCUUACCAGAACGGGUUCGACGGUGAGGGACGAAAGCUGGGGGCACGAACCGGAUUAGAUACCCGGGUAGUCCCAGCCGUAAACGAUGCUCGCUAGGUGUCAGGCAUGGCGCGACCGUGUCUGGUGCCGCAGGGAAGCCGUGAAGCGAGCCACCUGGGAAGUACGGCCGCAAGGCUGAAACUUAA